rnacentral:lncRNA from 10 species
ACGGGGUUUCACCAUGUUGGCUGGGCUGGUCUCGAACUCCUGACCUCAGGUAAUCCGCCCGCCUCGGCCUCCCAAAGUGCUUGGAUUACGUGCAUGAGCCACCGUGACCAGCUGACCAUCUCUCAUUAUUAAUAAGAACAUCACAGACAGGAUUCCACAUAUUUAUAAAAUUUCAUGUUAUCUCAAAUAUCGCAAUUACAGAUUUAACUUCUGGCCAUAUAAGGUGGAGCUCCGGUUUCUUGCUGAGCCAGGAAUCACCUAUUACUAUCUGAUUUGCGGGGGACACAAAGAAGGAGGAAAAAUCACCAGGGUGAAGGAAGGCAUGAAGAGAAGGUAGUCUAAACUCUAAAGUAUUAGCAUUUUCUUAUAGUUAUAUCACUGCUACAUUCAGCUGAUUAUUACAAAUGCAUCUCUAAUAUAUUUUUCUCCUGUGUUUUUCUACAAG